rnacentral:rRNA from 1 species
UACAGAGGGGGCAAGCGUUGUUCGGAAUUACUGGGCGUAAAGCGCACGUAGGCGGAUUUGUAAGUCAGGGGUGAAAUCCCGGGGCUCAACCUCGGAACUGCCUUUGAUACUGCAAGUCUUGAGUCCGAUAGAGGUGAGUGGAAUUCCUAGUGUAGAGGUGAAAUUCGUAGAUAUUAGGAAGAACACCAGUGGCGAAGGCGGCUCACUGGAUCGGUACUGACGCUGAGGUGCGAAAGCGUGGGGAGCGAACAGG